UCUCCCACCGGUGCCUCUCCUCUCGCCAGCCCUAGAUGUGCCGCUGCCGCCGUCACAGCCGCCGUCAUUCUCCUCUGAUCUGUCAUGUUCGUAGCUUCUCUGGGCGCAUCAUCUCCAUUAAUCCCCGCAAUUCUCCCUUCCAGACCGCCCUCUAGCGACCUAGAGCGAACGCCAAGUGCGCCCGGCGGCCACCUCCAACGACCCCGGUGACUCCUCUCUGUGCCUCUCGAGGAUAUGAGAUAAUCUCUUCUGCUACGUUUGGUAAAGACGGAUUUGUUCUGAUGGGAGUGCGACUCAUCGGCGUGUAUGGUGUCUCGCCCGCGGGCGCGGCUACACGUCGAAGCCCUCGGAGGUCCCUGCUGCCACCGUCUUGCCUCCCGCUUGAGAGUUUGAACUGCACAUGCUUUGAUGGGCGUAUUGUACGCCACCGUCCUGCACCCCCGGCAAACCUGGCCGUGGUUUUGCUGCUGAAGAGAGCACCCCAACCAAGAGUUAAACCACUUUACUGAGGAAGAUGAUUUUAUACAGAAUCAUGGAAAACAUUUCUGAGAGACUUUCAUGAAGAAACCCAUGGAUGGCAUGGGGUAGAAGAAGCAAACAAAUGUUGGACUCCAUCUAGAACCUCAAUGAGCCGUACGACCGCGGUGCAGACCGGCCCUUGUAAGCUCCAGAUCACCCGCAAGACUGUUGCGAAUUUGGGCAGAAAUACUAGCUCUUAGUACUUGAAUACUUGUCGGUCCAUCACACAGGUUUCUUGCAUAAGUGUUUGUUGGUACUAGGUUGAUGUAUCUCAUGUCAAUAUGAUAUAUUCUAUGAUCAGAAUAGUGAUUUUUUGCUCGACAGACUGAUAUUCUUUGCUCAAUUAAUAUUAUCUCAAUCUGGUUGAAACAGAGCGCACAUUAGCUUCUCUACUGUAAAUACUUAUUUAUUUAUAUUGCAAACACCAGUGCAACUUUUUUAUAUGAAAAAUAAAGUUUCUAAAAGAGUUCAUAGCUUUAGACAACUUGUUGGGCUAGGCUUUGAGUG